rnacentral:rRNA from 1 species
GCGCGCAAAUUACCCAAUCCUGACACGGGGAGGUAGUGACAAUAAAUAACAAUACCGGGCGCGUUAGUGUCUGGUAAUUGGAAUGAGUACAAUCUAAAUCCCUUAACAAGGAUCCAUUGGAGGGCAAGUCUGGUGCCAG